rnacentral:rRNA from 1 species
AUCCUACGGGGGGCAGCAGUAGGGAAUCUUCCACAAUGGACGAAAGUCUGAUGGAGCAACGCCGCGUGAGUGAAGAAGGGUUUCGGCUCGUAAAGCUCUGUUGGUAGUGAAGAAAGAUAGAGGGAGUAACUGGCCUUUAUUUGACGGUAAUUACUUAGAAAGUCACGGCUAACUACGUGCCAGCAGCCGUGGUAAUACGUAGGUGGCAAGCGUUGUCCGGAUUUAUUGGGCGUAAAGCGAGUGCAGGCGGUUCAAUAAGUCUGAUGUGAAAGACUUCGGCCCCACCGGAGAA